CAGGCUGUCUGCAGGCACCUGUCAUCAGCUGUGUCCCCAGAGGUGUCCAGAGAGCUUGGGCAGCCUGCUCCCAUCUUCUUCUUGCUCUUCCCAAGCCCUGAAUGUGUUGCUGCAGCUGAGCUGUGUCCUCCAGCUUCUGCAGGGUCUGGAGUGCCCACAGGACAUCUCUGCUCUUGGCCGCAGUGCAUGAAUGUGCACAAGGAAUUUCCCCUGAACAUUUAUUAUCCCUGGUACCACAGUCAACAGUUGGCUGGGUAACUGAGCAAAUUUACUUGAACUCUUUAUUUCCCAGGUCUUAUUUUUCUAAGGAAGGCAAUAAAUCAAUGACAGGAAAAGUACUCACCAGGCAGAAAUUGGGUAGCUUCAUGACUUAAUCAGCACUGAUUAAUGCCGGUCGGGAAUCUAUCUCUGCAUUUCUUUGGAAUACAUUUUGGAAAGUCUGGUAGUUCCUAGCAGAGUUUUGCAUGAAAAAUUAAAUUACUUGCAUAUUCCUGUCUCUCCUUAACAACUAGGCUCCUCGAGGCUCGCACCCAUCUUUCCCCGUAGGUCUGUCUGGGCGCUCCGCGGAGCAGCGCUCCCUCCGGAGCUGGAGGCAGAUGGUCGCUAGGGAGCCCCGUGCCAGGUCUGGGUGACAGGAGCGGAAAGGCAGGGACAGCCACAGCCGGAUGAGACACUUCUCUUCCUCCCUGGAUGUCACAGGCUGGAAACGCCAGAGGCAGAACUCUCCAGAGCUCACCACCCAGUUGCAGCCUCAUGGAUCAAUGCUCUCGGGAGGGAAGUGCAGCAUCCUGGCAGCCCAGCAGCCUCAAGCCCCUGCGCUGACCCUCUGCUGAUGUUUGGGGGGUGUUUGUAAACAAUGCAGAGUUCUGGACUGAAGAAGACAGAAGAGAGGAUAAUCUAAAGGCUUCUUGGUAGCUACUGCAAGCCUGUCUUUUGUCUCUUCUGUUCAGCCUGAGAAUAAGGGCUGAAAUCUAACAUCUGGUGUAACUGUACAAACCUGACCUUAGGUCACAGUUGAACCUCUCUCAUUCCAACCCCUCUGCCAUGGGCAGGGACACUUUCCACGAGAUCAGGCUGAUCCAAGCCCCACCUGACCUGGCUUUGAGCACUUCCAGGAUGGAGCAGCCACAGCUUCUCUGUGCCAAGUUCUCACCACCCUCACAGCCUACAGCUAAAAAGAAAGCUUCACCCCAAGAGCUUCAUUGCCCAAAAGAGGCUGUGCUGCAAACCCACCUCAAAAGGCCCAGAACACCUGGUUUCAGGCACAACAGGAAGAUCAGAACAUACCUUAUCAUAAAUAUGCAUAUGCGAGGCAGGAGCCCGCCACCUUCUUGGAGUGAUGCCAUAAUUGACGGAACAAAGUACAACAAAACUUCACAUCACUGGUGGAUCAGAAGAACAGAGGAGAGCUGCUGAAAUGGCAAGCAGAGGCCGGCUCCAGAUAUUGCUCUGAGUCUGUGUGAGAAAGGUGAUGCAGAGGAGUCUAAUUCAUGAACAAUUAUCACCCUCUGAUAAGACACCAUCUGCUCCCGGCUGCCUGACUCCAAUUCUCCAACAGACAGUUGGGAAUUCCUCUCCAAAUAAACCACUGGUGUAACAGGAAAACAGAACUGUCAGCUCCAGUGAGGUUGUGCCUCCUUGCAUCAGCACCGAGUGUGUCUCACUCUUUCAACCAAGAAGGAAAAAUAAUACUGGGAAAGGCAGUAAAAUGCCAUCAACUACCACUGAAAGAGCCAGACAGCAGAACUGAGAUUGUGUUGUGGUUGGAGAAUGACAGGAAGUUACAUCCAUCCCAUGGUACUGAGAGCACUUGGCUGCAUUUGGCUGAAGCUCUGUGAGCAUCACUCCUGCAGCACCAUCCUUCUCACCACGGCUGCUCCCAAGCCACUGCUCAUUAAAAGCUCAUCUGAGGUAUGAGUCACUUCCAUCAAAAGAGGAGGAUGCCUUGAUCUGUGUGUGAGCGAGCUUUGGAACAGCAGCUGUUGGAGCAAAUACAAACAUCCAUGUCAAGGAUUGUGAGGAUGGAGUUUAUCUAAUAUGUAAAAAAACACCUGCUGCAAAUGAAAAAUUACACCCACAACCACCUGAAUAAGAUAAGCAAAUGAUGGGGGAAAUGAAGAGACAGAUUUAUUAUUAAUGCUGACAAAGAAAAUUCCUGUGGAAGAAAGGAGGAGGGACUGGUAAACACCCCAAGGUGAUGUCGCUUGCUAUUUGCAGCUCAUGUGCUUUGAGGAUCUCCAGCCAAGGUAGUAAAACAGGGCAGAAAGAAGGACCUUGCUAUGCCCCAGCUCCAGGAUUUGGGUAAAAAACCAGGUGUGGACACCAUGGAGGCUGCAAACACACCUGAGGGCCAAUCCCACCACCUGAGUCAUCACUGCUGGGGAGAGUGGUGGCUCGUGGCUAUGUGAGGAUGAAGUGUUCAACGUGCCAGAAUUAACCACCACUGCUACGAGGAUGAAAGAUAGCCCUGAUUAACACACCAUUAAAUGAACGUUUAACAUCAUCAUUGAAGACUGAGCCUGAUUAAUAGGUCAAGAAGGGCUAAUUACACCUUGUUGUCAGGAAGGGUGUGUGUAUGUGUGGCUGUGUGCAAGCGAGUGGCACCAGGAAUUGCCAGUCCCUUAAAUUAGACCAAUAACGUGAAGUUUGUCAGACUCUGUGACCAUGGCCCAAGUUAAAUGUCACUGAUGGGAUCAUCUGCCGGGAGCAGGUGGGUGUGCAAGGAGCACAUCAGCUGCCAUGUCCUCCUGGGCCUCCAGCUCCUGAGCUUUUCCCUCUGGGACAGGAGAAACCCAGAAAAACUACUCACAGGCUCCGGUUUUCUUUGGAAAUUCCUCAGAGACGCAUUGCCUCACCACUGCCCAUAAAAGUGCUUCUCAGCUGUGGUGGAAAACAGCGUUUCUGCCUGGAAAAGGUAUUUCCCAGCUGGCUGUUGCUGGUGGAGUAGGAAGGCAUUGUGUGAUGUUCCGUGAUGGAGCAGCCAGGGAGGAGAAAUGUGAUUAAUAACACAAAGAUGAUACAGAAGGUGGCCAAGAGCCAGAUUCUCAUCCGCUGCUCCAGGCAGCACUGGCUGGGAGAGGAGGGGAAAGGAUGGUCCUGCUGCUCAACACAAGCUGCAUGUGGCAGCAUCUCUUAAGCCCAAGCCCACGGGCAGUCAGCAGAUGACAAACAGGACAUUUGGAACCCCAAAUAAUCUUUCUGAGGUGAGAUGCCCAGGGAGGUGAGCAGCCAAUUAAUCUCUGAUGGCUUUGCAGCCCCUGACCUGCCUGCUGGUGACCUGUGUGGGGACAGUGUCCCCCAGGAGAGGCUGAGGGCCCUGCUGGGGCUCAUCCAGGGACACAUCUCCUACCUGGAACUGAAUCCCCCCAUUUUACAGAUGCACCCCACACCAAACAGCAGCUUCUGGCUCAAUCCCCUCUGCCUGUGACUUUGGAAAAUUUAAUCCCACAAAUCCUCUCCAGUUUGCUAAAAUCUCACUGGUGAUGGAAGUGCACCACACAACCAAGGCCAAAUUUGUAUUCUCUGUAUUUUGAUUAUUAAAAUCUACCAGUCCGUACCAUUUAGGGACACACAAUAAUGAGUGUGCGAAGUUCACCUCCCCCUCCCCCCAAAAAAUAGUUAUCUGGUGUAAUUUUAUGAUAGAAUAUUUUUAUAAAAUCAUUUGUACUAAUUUAAGCAUUUAUCAUUAUAUGCAAAAAGAUUUCUUGAUGAGAAUAUUAUAGACGGUGCAUGUUUUUGACAUUAGC